rnacentral:rRNA from 1 species
UACAGAGGGUGCAAGCGUUAAUCGGAUUUACUGGGCGUAAAGGGCGCGUAGGUGGUUAUGUAAGUGAGAUGUGAAAUCCCCGGGCUUAACCUGGGAACUGCGUCUUAUACUGCAUAGCUUGAGUACAUGAGAGGGUAGUGGAAUUUCCGGUGUAGCGGUGAAAUGCGUAGAUAUCGGAAGGAACACCAGUGGCGAAGGCGGCUUUCUGGUCUGUAACUGACGCUGAGGCGCGAAAGCGUGGGGAGCAAACAGG